rnacentral:rRNA from 1 species
AUGGGAACGCGAAGAACCUUACCUAGACUCGACAUCUCCUGAAUAGUGUAGAGAUACAUGAAGCCCUUCGGGGCAGGAAGACAGGUGGUGCAUGGUUGUCGUCAGCUCGUGUCGUGAGAUGUUGGGUUAAGUCCCGCAACGAGCGCAACCCUUAUUACUAGUUGCUACCAUUAAGUUGAGCACUCUAGUGAGACUGCCCGGGUUAACCGGGAGGAAGGCGGGGAUGACGUCAAAUCAUCAUGCCCCUUAUGUCUAGGGCAACACACGUGCUACAAUGGUGAGUACAGAUAGAUGCGAUACCGCAAGGUGGAGCCAAACUCUAAAACUCAUCCCAGUUCGGAUUGUAGGCUGCAACUCGCCUACAUGAAGUUGGAGUUGCUAGUAAUCGCGAAUCAGAAUGUCGCGGUGAAUACGUUCCCGGGUCUUGUACACACCG